rnacentral:tRNA from 1 species
ACCUGGCUGGCUCAGUACGAAGAGCAUGCGACUCUUGAUCUCGGAGUGGUGAGUUCGAGCCCCACGUUGGGUG